rnacentral:rRNA from 1 species
AGAACGAACGCUGGCGGCAGGCCUAACACAUGCAAGUCGAACGCCCUAGCAAUAGGGAGUGGCAGACGGGUGAGUAACGCGUGGGAACCUUCCCUAUAGUACGGAAUAUACCAGGGAAACUUGGAGCAAUACCGUAUACGCCCGAAAGGGGAAAGAUUUAUCGCUAUAGGAUGGGCCCGCGUAGGAUUAGCUAGUUGGUGAGGUAAUGGCUCACCAAGGCGACGAUCCUUAGCUGGUCUGAGAGGAUGAUCAGCCACACUGGGACUGAGACACGGCCCAGACUCCUACGGGAGGCAGCAGUGGGGAAUAUUGGGCAAUGGGCGCAAGCCUGACCCAGCCAUGCCGCGUGAGUGACGACGGCCUUAGGGUUGUAAAGCUCUUUUGGCGGGGACGAUAAUGACGGUACCCGCAGAAUAAGCCCGGCUAACUUCGUGCCAGCAGCCGC